UACGUAGGUGGCAAGCGUUGUCCGGAAUUAUUGGGCGUAAAGCGCGCGCAGGCGGCUUCUUAAGUCUGAUGUGAAAUCUCGGGGCUCAACCCCGAGCGGCCAUUGGAAACUGGGAAGCUUGAGUACAGAAGAGGAGAGUGGAAUUCCACGUGUAGCGGUGAAAUGCGUAGAUAUGUGGAGGAACACCAGUGGCGAAGGCGACUCUCUGGUCUGUAACUGACGCUGGAGGAGCGAAAGCGUGGGGAGCGAACAGG
rnacentral:rRNA from 1 species